rnacentral:rRNA from 1 species
UACGGAGGGGGCUAGCGUUGUUCGGAAUUACUGGGCGUAAAGCGCGCGUAGGCGGCUUACUAAGUCAGGGGUGAAAUCCUGGAGCUCAACUCCAGAACUGCCUUUGAUACUGGUGAGCUUGAGUCCGGGAGAGGUGAGUGGAACUGCGAGUGUAGAGGUGAAAUUCGUAGAUAUUCGCAAGAACACCAGUGGCGAAGGCGGCUCACUGGCCCGGUACUGACGCUGAGGUGCGAAAGCGUGGGGAGCAAACAGG